rnacentral:rRNA from 1 species
GAUGAACGCUGGCGGCGUGCCUAAUACAUGCAAGUCGAGCGAACAGACGCGGCGCUUGCUCCUCUCACGUUAGCGGCAGACGGGUGAGUCACACGUGGAUAACCUCCCUAUCAGACUGGGAUAACUUCGGGAAACCGGCGCUAAUCCCGGAUAAUCUCUUGAACCACGUGGUUCGAUGGUGAGUGACGGUUUUGCUGUCACUUAUCGCUGCUUCCGCGCCGCAUUAGCUAGUUGGUAAGGUAACGGCUUACCAAGGCAACGCUGCGUGGCCGACGUGAGGGGGUGAUCGGCCACACUGGAACGGGGACACGGUCCAUGCGCCUGCGGGAGGCAGCAGUAGGGUAUCUUCCGCAAUGGGCGAAAGCCUGACGGAGCAACGCCGCGUGAGUGAUGAAGGUCUUCGGAGCGUAAAACUCGGUUAUUAGGGAAGAACAAAUGUGUAAGUAACUAUGCACGUCUUGACGGUACCUAAUCAGAAAGCCACGGCUAACUACGUG